rnacentral:misc_RNA from 1 species
ACUUACAAUGCAUCACUAGGCUAGAUCAGAACAUGUAACAUUUUCUCGUUCAUAUUAUAUAUAUUUUGGUUCGGUUCAAUUUUAAAGAUUUUUUUGCUCCAAAACCGAACCAAACCAAACCGAACAAAACAAACUGAGAUUUUCUAAAAUUGAAACCAAACCGAUUUUCCUAAUUGAGUUGGUUUAGUCGGUUACUUCGGUUUGAACCGAAUUGUGCUCACCUCUAUCAAUUUCUAACUUCCCAAAUGAACACAUACUGAGUUUAGCAUACAGUUGAUGUCGUUGAAGAACUAGAAAAACUUUCUCCAAGUGAAUUAAGCGUUCUUGCCAUGAAGAGCUAAA